GCCGCGCCUAGGGUAGCUCCCGAAAAGCUGGUUCCCUUACCAGCCUGGCGCGGUUUCUGAUUAAGGG
rnacentral:sRNA from 17 species